rnacentral:lncRNA from 1 species
CAUGACUCCAGGAUCAACUCUUCCAGAAAUGAACAUGGAUACCAUUGCCAGAUGCAUUUUCCUCAAAUGCUGUGUCUACUCAAAGGCAUCAAGAUCCAGGGAAUGGACAUCUGACAUGGGUCAAACAGUCUGGAAAUUCUAAACCUGCUGCUUCCUACCCGUGCACCUGAGCCAGUUACUCAACCUUGCAAACACCUGAGUUUGGAAAGACAGAAUAUCAACUUCUACUCACAGAUCAUAACCUGCUAGCUAUAUAUCUCCCACUUUCUUUCUGGCUCUUCUCCAUCCAUGCAAACAUAGAAGUAUGCUUCAGAGGGCUGAGGAUUUAGCCCAGUG